rnacentral:rRNA from 1 species
AGCGUACACGGUGGAUGCCCUGGCAGUCAGAGGCGAUGAAGGACGUGCUAAUCUGCGAAAAGCGUCGGUAAGGUGAUAUGAACCGUUACAGCCGGCGAUGUCCGAAUGGGGAAACCCAGUGCAAUUCGUUGCACUAUCGUUAACUGAAUACAUAGGUUAACGAGGCGAACCGGGGGAACUGAAACAUCUAAGUACCCCGAGGAAAAGAAAUCAACCGAGAUUCCCCCAGUAGCGGCGAGCGAACGGGGAGCAGCCCAGAGUCUGAAUCAGCUUGUGUGUUAGUGGAACGGUCUGGAAAGUCCGACGGUACAGGGUGAUAGUCCCGUACACCAAAAUGCACAGGCUGUGAACUCGAAGAGUAGGGCGGGACACGUGGUAUCCUGUCUGAAUAUGGGGGGACCAUCCUCCAAGGCUAAAUACUCCUGACUGACCGAUAGUGAACCAGUACCGUGAGGGAAAGGCGAAAAGAACCCCGGCGAGGGGAGUGAAAAAGAACCUGAAACCGUGUACGUACAAGCAGUGGGAGCACCUUCGGGUGUGACUGCGUACCUUUUGUAUAAUGGGUCAGCGACUUAUAUUCUGUAGCAAGGUUAACCGUAUAGGGGAGCCGCAGGGAAACCGAGUCUUAACUGGGCGUUAAGUUGCAGGGUAUAGACCCGAAACCCGGUGAUCUAGCCAUGGGCAGGUUGAAGGUUGGGUAACACUAACUGGAGGACCGAACCGACUAAUGUUGAAAAAUUAGCGGAUGACUUGUGGCUGGGGGUGAAAGGCCAAUCAAACCGGGAGAUAGCUGGUUCUCCCCGAAAGCUAUUUAGGUAGCGCCUCGUGAACUCAUCUUCGGGGGUAGAGCACUGUUUCGGCUAGGGGGUCAUCCCGACUUACCAACCCGAUGCAAACUACGAAUACCGAAGAAUGUUAUCACGGGAGACACACGGCGGGUGCUAACGUCCGUCGUGAAGAGGGAAACAACCCAGACCGCCAGCUAAGGUCCCAAAGUCAUGGUUAAGUGGGAAACGAUGUGGGAAGGCACAGACAGCCAGGAUGUUGGCUUAGAAGCAGCCAUCAUUUAAAGAAAGCGUAAUAGCUCACUGGUCGAGUCGGCCUGCGCGGAAGAUGUAACGGGGCUAAACCAUGCACCGAAGCUGCGGCAGCGACACUAUGUGUUGUUGGGUAGGGGAGCGUUCUGUAAGCCUGCGAAGGUGUGCUGUGAGGCAUGCUGGAGGUAUCAGAAGUGCGAAUGCUGACAUAAGUAACGAUAAAGCGGGUGAAAAGCCCGCUCGCCGGAAGACCAAGGGUUCCUGUCCAACGUUAAUCGGGGCAGGGUGAGUCGACCCCUAAGGCGAGGCCGAAAGGCGUAGUCGAUGGGAAACAGGUUAAUAUUCCUGUACUUGGUGUUACUGCGAAGGGGGGACGGAGAAGGCUAUGUUAGCCGGGCGACGGUUGUCCCGGUUUAAGCAUGUAGGCUGAUUGUCCAGGCAAAUCCGGAUAAUCAAGGCUGAGGUGUGAUGACGAGGCACUACGGUGCUGAAGUAACAAAUGCCCUGCUUCCAGGAAAAGCCUCUAAGCAUCAGGUAACAUUAAAUCGUACCCCAAACCGACACAGGUGGUCAGGUAGAGAAUACCAAGGCGCUUGAGAGAACUCGGGUGAAGGAACUAGGCAAAAUGGUGCCGUAACUUCGGGAGAAGGCACGCUGGUGUGUAGGUGAAGUCCCUGCGGAUGGAGCUGAGACCAGUCGAAGAUACCAGCUGGCUGCAACUGUUUAUUAAAAACACAGCACUGUGCAAACACGAAAGUGGACGUAUACGGUGUGACGCCUGCCCGGUGCCGGAAGGUUAAUUGAUGGGGUUAUCCGUAAGGAGAAGCUCUUGAUCGAAGCCCCGGUAAACGGCGGCCGUAACUAUAACGGUCCUAAGGUAGCGAAAUUCCUUGUCGGGUAAGUUCCGACCUGCACGAAUGGCGUAAUGAUGGCCAGGCUGUCUCCACCCGAGACUCAGUGAAAUUGAACUCGCUGUGAAGAUGCAGUGUACCCGCGGCAAGACGGAAAGACCCCGUGAACCUUUACUAUAGCUUGACACUGAACAUUGAGCCUUGAUGUGUAGGAUAGGUGGGAGGCUUUGAAGCGUGGACGCCAGUCUGCGUGGAGCCAACCUUGAAAUACCACCCUUUAAUGUUUGAUGUUCUAACGUUGGCCCCUGACCGGGGUUGCGGACAGUGUCUGGUGGGUAGUUUGACUGGGGCGGUCUCCUCCCAAAGCGUAACGGAGGAGCACGAAGGUUAGCUAAUCCUGGUCGGACAUCAGGAGGUUAGUGCAAUGGCAUAAGCUAGCUUGACUGCGAGCGUGACGGCGCGAGCAGGUGCGAAAGCAGGUCAUAGUGAUCCGGUGGUUCUGAAUGGAAGGGCCAUCGCUCAACGGAUAAAAGGUACUCCGGGGAUAACAGGCUGAUACCGCCCAAGAGUUCAUAUCGACGGCGGUGUUUGGCACCUCGAUGUCGGCUCAUCACAUCCUGGGGCUGAAGUAGGUCCCAAGGGUAUGGCUGUUCGCCAUUUAAAGUGGUACGCGAGCUGGGUUUAGAACGUCGUGAGACAGUUCGGUCCCUAUCUGCCGUGGGCGCUGGAGAAUUGAGGGGGGCUGCUCCUAGUACGAGAGGACCGGAGUGGACGCAUCACUGGUGUUCGGGUUGUCAUGCCAAUGGCACUGCCCGGUAGCUAAAUGCGGAAGAGAUAAGUGCUGAAAGCAUCUAAGCACGAAACUUGCCCCGAGAUGAGUUCU